rnacentral:sRNA from 1 species
CCCUAGCCCUGAUGGGAACGGCAUCCUUUCCUGUCCUUCUUUAGGACAGGAAAGAUAUAGUGGACAGCAGGAAAUAGC